UACGUAGGGUGCAAGCGUUAAUCGGAAUUACUGGGCGUAAAGCGUGCGCAGGCGGCUUUGCAAGACAGAUGUGAAAUCCCCGGGCUCAACCUGGGAACUGCAUUUGUGACUGCAUGGCUAGAGUGCGGCAGAGGGGGAUGGAAUUCCGCGUGUAGCAGUGAAAUGCGUAGAUAUGCGGAGGAACACCGGAUGGCGAAGGCAAUCCCCUGGACCUGUACUGACGCUC
rnacentral:rRNA from 1 species